UGGGGGGCCGGAGGGCGGGCGGAGGAAGAGAAAGUCCACGUCCGCGUAGCGAAGGUGGAAACUUAAAGGAAAGGGAGAAAUGAGCCUGCCGCAUGCGUGUUGUUGAUCUGCACGAAUCCCGAUGACCCCGGGUUGAAUUAGGAAGGCGCCCCAAGCAAGUUCUGUAAUAUAACGAUGAGUGAAUGAAAUGUGCUAUGGGAACAUGUCAGUGUGUGAAUGAGGACACGUGCACUUAAAAAGAAAUAUCUUAUUGUCUGUUUAUAGGUGUUUUUGGGAGAAUAUAUAGGAAGAGUGUUUGUGUCUUCGAAUAAUGUAUAGAUAAUGCAUAGACAGCUGCAUUUAAGUGUGUACCAGAAAUAUGUACAUAUGUGUAGGCAUGUAUCUUUAUGUGCCUAAAUGUAAGAGGUGUGUGUGUGUGUGUGUAAGAUUCCCAUGGACUUCUCUGAGUUUUCAUUUAUGUGUAUGUAGAUGAAUUUGUGGGUUCAUGCAUGUGACCCCACAUCCUUGACUAUGUAUUGUUUUAGUGUGGCUGUAUUGUAUGUAUUUGUGUAUAUGGGAUCACAUGUGUUUUGUGAGAUCGUAUUCUGCUUGUGUAUAUGUGUUUGUGUAUAGGAGUACAUUUGUGAUCAGUCUGUGACCAGAGCUGCUGUGUAUCUUGACAGGUGUGUCUUUCAUGAGUGGGAGUGUAUGUGUUUUUCAGAGUCUAUGUGGAUAUGAUUCUGUAUGUGUCUUGAUGUACCUUUGAAGCCACCCACAGUUCAUCUUCAGUAAAGGCCACAUAGUUCUUAAAGGUUGGGCUGGUCACUGGGCGCAUGUCUGUAAUCCCAGCAGCUGGUGAGGCUGAGGCUGGGGGAUUGCGGGAUCAAAACCAGCUUCAGCUAAAGUGAGGCACUAAGCAACUCAGUGAGACCCUGUCUGUAAAUAAAGUACAAAAUAGGGCUGGGGAUGUGGCUCAGUGUUCGAGUGCCCCUAAAUUCAAUCCUUGGAACCUAAAAAAAAAAAAGUUGUGCUGGUCAAUGUGGCUUCUUGGAGGAGGAAACCCUUGGCAGGUGGGGACUGUGCAGGUAGGCAAAAGCCCUGCAUGCCUACUGAGCAGACUGUCCAGAGCAGUGGGUGGCGAGGUGAACAAUGCAGACUGUAGCAAGACAAGGGAAGGCCUUGAAUGCCAGAGCAGGUCACUGGGGCCUCCUCCAGCUUCCUCUGCCUUCUCAAGCUCUUGAUCUGCUUCUUUUAUAGUUUACCCUUGUCCAUGCUCUUUGGCUGAGCAAAUGUCCUUGGUACUUACCAAUGGCAACAUUAAAGAGGCACUACUAUAUGCCUGCCUCCAAAAAGCACUUAACAGGCCUUGGGUCCUCUAUGAGGCAGAAACUAAGCCCAGUUUUAAAGAAGGGAAGAGAGGUGGUUAAGUGCCUGUUCACAGUUACACAGCUGGGAAGGGUGCCUUAGAUUCCAGAAGCUCCGUGCUCUCUCCACCACUGUGUCUAGAGACACUUCCAAAAUCAUCCCAGAUUGAGAACCGCUGUGCUGGACUAACCUGCCUCCUUGGGUAAAUGUUUCCUUAGGGGCUUCACUAACUUUGCUGUGUCCAGUGGCUUCAGCUGUCUUCCUUUCUGUGGGAGCCGUACUUCCACACACAGUGGACCUUGUCUCUGCCACAUGCAAACCAGAGGCUUACAGCUGGGCCCCUUUAACCCAGCAACUCAACCUCUCUGUGCCCCAGCUACAGAAAAUAGGGCUUGACACCUUGUGGACACUUCACUCUUAGUAUCAUGCAAAUGACAGUGUGUCCCUGAGGUCAGAGCCUGGAGGAAGCACACCCAAGCCAGCUGACUUUCUCUGGCACAUAGCCGUGGAUGCUGCUUGAAGUUUGCUUUCUUAACUCAGCAAGAACACUGUUGCAGUGUUGGGCCCAAACUGGUCCCAUUUUAUGUUGUUAUUAGAGGUUAUACAAUUUCAUUUUUGCAAAUAAAACAGCUUGGCUUUCCUUCCGGCAGAACCUGAUUUUAAUGAGCAAGUCCUGCGUUUGUGGCCAGAGCAGGUGCUCAGGCAGGGCAAGCCGGAGCCAUCUGCAGGGCUGUCAGUGUGUCCAAACCUGGGCCCAGGCCUGGGUAGGGAGUCAGUGCUGCUGCAGGGCCCACCCCACCUGGCAGGGCAAGGCGUGGGGUGGCACAAAUAUUAAGAGUAUGGUGACUCUGUCACAUGUGCAAGAGGCCUGAGACUCCCACUAUUGACAAAAUACAGGGGACAAUGCUGGGAGGACUUCCAUGCCACUGCCGGUUCCUCUGGGGCACUUCCUUUCUACUUCCCCUCAGUCCCUGCAGCCUUCCUCGUGUUCAGUGGGCCAUCCGCUGCAGUCCUCCUGGAAGACCAGAACAAAGUGGUUAAAAGCAAUGGUUCAGGUGCCUGAUGACCCUAGGACAGGCAGGUCACCUCUUUCUGUCUCAGCUUCCUCAUUUCUAUAGUGGAGUUACUCAGAGAUCAUAUCUCAUGGGAUUAAAUGAGAUAGUCUGUGUAAAGCAUGUUGACCACAUGGUAAGCCUUUAAUAGCUGGAGAGUAACCCAAUAUUGCUAUUAUUCUUGGUUAGCAGUAAAAUGAGAAUAAGCAUUGAUAAUUCCAGGCACUGUGCUAGACUCUGGACAGAUCCUUUCUCAUUGGACCCCCCAACAACACUAUGAAAAAGGUUCUAUGUGAUCCCCAGAGCUGGGAAGAGAAAGCUCAGGUAUAGUGGUAUUAAGUAACUCACCCUGGGGGACAGUGAAGAAGCAGCAGUUCUGCAUCUGAAACAACUGUCACCGCAAAGCCUCCAUACCUGCUUCUCUCCACCAAAAGCUGAUUUCACCCUGGGCAGAAAGGGUCCAUCUCCAGCUGGGGUGUCCUGGGUAAGCUUGAGAGGAGUAGGAGGGUUGGCCCCAAGAAAUUAAAUGUUCUCUUUCCAGCUAUUCAUGGAACCAUAGUGACCCUGGUCUUGUGGCCUCUGAGGGGUACCGCCAAGUUUUUACUAGUGCGUAAAGUUUAUUUUUGUUACAAGGGUAUAGAUUGUUCUGGUGCUCUUUGUUUGAAUUGGACUGCAGGAAAGGUACAGAAAACCACCAACCUGCUGCUGGUAAAUUAGAUGCCAGGGAAAGACACGUGUUUACCUGGAGCUGUGAGGACUCGGCCAGGCCUUCAAUUGAUAGACCAGGCACCAACUUGUAUAUUGCCAUUUGCCAUUCCAGGAGGCAGAGAAGCUGGGAGUGACCAUGUGUGCUGAGAGCCAUUGCCAAGUAGGAAUGACGCAUCGAAAUUUC